rnacentral:rRNA from 1 species
UACGUAGGGUGCGAGCGUUAAUCGGAAUUACUGGGCGUAAAGCGUGCGCAGGCGGUUUGUAAGCCAGAUGUGAAAGCCCCGGGCUUAACCUGGGAAUGGCAUUUGGGACUGCAAGGCUUGAGUGCGGCAGAGGAGACUGGAAUUCCCGGUGUAGCAGUGAAAUGCGUAGAUAUCGGGAGGAAUACCGAUGGCGAAGGCAGGUCUCUGGGCUGACACUGACGCUCAUGCACGAAAGCGUGGGGAGCAAACGGG